CCGGCGGCUCCCGGGGACCCGCAGCCUUCGGAGCGGCGGGGAGGGACCGGCGGGGCGAGGGGAGGGCCGAGCUGCUCUCCGGGCGGCUGCGGCUGUCAGCGCGGCGUCGGGGCUGCGGCGGUCAGCAGCCGCGCUUCCCGAGGCUCGGAGGUGCUGCGAGCCUUUGCCCGGGAUCGUCGCGGCGAUCGGAGUGCGAGGGUCUGUUUGAUCAAACGUUUUGUUACCGCUGUAGCUGUCGGUGACGCUACCGCGUUGGAAAUGUAAGGAUCCGGCGUUUUGUAACGCUAAACUGCAGUUGGGGAGAGAACCACUAUUUCCAGCGAAGAUGUUCUGUGCCAAAUGGAUGUUAACAAAAAUGUUCACAGUUUAAGUGUUUCCAGAUCUGCCAACAGAAUGUUUAAGCAAAAUAUCGCCUGUGAGUUUGAAAAUCGAGUUAGGAUGCCUUUCAAGUUACACUUGAAAACAUGCAGGUAGGAGUUUCUGCUGUAAGGUCACAGAGAUGACCUUGGUGAACACAUCGCACAAGUGCUGCCUGUCACAGUACUAUUUUAGUGUCUUCCAGAUGAAAAAAAAACCACCAUAAAAGCAAAACCACAUCUCUAUAAUGCAGUCCUUCAUACUGAAACUCUAAAUAUUUCCAUUAAGGUUCUGUAUAAAGCAAUAGUGUCAGGUUUUGGUCAAUAGCCUAGAAAAUAUGAAAUGGGAAUUGAUGUUGGAUGAAUAUGGAUAGCACCAACACAAGUGAGCAAGGCUUGGACAACACCACGUGGGAGCACAGAAGUGUGUGUGUGGCAUUGGAGACACACAUAUCUCUUGCUUCUGGAGAAAUCCCACUGCAGUUACAACAGAUAAAAGCAUACAUGCAUUUUGUGUAUGCUGGCAUGUCUGUUUGGUGCAUCCCAAGCGACUGGGUUAGAAUCCCUUCUGCUGGCACAGAUCUGUAGCAGAGCUGAGCUGCCCACACUGUGCUGCUGCUGUGGCUGUCCUCGGCCCUUUUCAGUUGGGCAAACAACUCAGGAGGUUUGAAUACGGGGAUAGGAAUCGAAAGCCUUUGUAAGUAUCCUUCAGACCGGUAUCUCCUGCCUUCCAGGGAAGAAAUUCUUAAUAAUUAAUGGAAAUUUAAGCAAAAUCUUUGGUGCAGAAAGUUCUAAUCCUUUGCUUCUCAGAAACACCUUCCCCCAAACUCCGGAUCUUAUUACUCCAACAUCAUCUAGUACAAGGAUUCAGAAAAUAAACAUUUUUUAAUGCUUGUAUUAGGUGAUGGUAGAGGACUUUUCUGCUGGCCAGGAUUUGUUACAGUGAAUUCAUCUAGUUUUCAGGGAGACCCAAGGAGAAUAACAGCCACAGUUCACGCAGGGGAUCUGUUGUAACUGCAGUAGGAUUUCUCCAGAAGCAAGAGAUAUCCCUACUACAUGAGCACAUUGUUUCAUAGAGCACAGGACGUGAGCACCAUUCUAUUCAAUGUCAGUAAAUGGGCUUCUUAACAUUUUCCUUUAUGUUAGUAGGUUAAGAAGCUCUUCAAAGUACUUGCUACUCUCACUGUAAGACAACAUCAGCUCCAUGUGUAGAAAUGGCAGUGAUGUCACCAUGCUCAGAGAUUCAUUGAACACCUGAAAUGGAUUAUGACCAGGUUAAUGGAUCAAGUUAUGGAAAGAAACUGUACUCUGAAGUGUAGAGGUGAAAAGAAGGACAAGGGGACAAUGAGAAGAGUUGUUAUCAGACCUUGUCAGCUGUGACUUUUUCCUCAUGACCAUUGCCUCUUGAGUGUGCACUACCUGCUGUGAUUCAUGUACAGUACUGGGCUUCCAUAGGUAAUUCGGGGAUGGACUCUGUGAACAAAUAAUAUAAGCUAUGUUCUCUUACAAAGAAAAUCAACAUAUUACUCAGAUUUGAUAAACUUUUCAAUAAAUACCAUUUCACCUGAAUGGACACACUGUACAUGCUGCUUAAGCAAGUUUUGCAUUCACACAUUGAAAACUCUACCAGCCAAUAGCUCCACAUCUGUGCUUUCUCAGGGGAACACAUCAGGAGUGCCGCAGGGUUCUGUUCAGGGCAGUAUUAUGACAAGAAGUGCACUAGUAAGAGACUUUAUUUAAAUUGCAAGCUUUGAAACAGAUCAGAGACUGACUUUUGUUAGGUGGAUUCAUUAUCUAACACAGGAUAAUUUGCAGAUUAAGUUCAUGUUCCUAUGUACAGAUCUGAAAGCAAUACAAUAAAGAUUGACCUUUUCCAUGAAAGAGUAAGGAGUCAUUUGUUGGCGUGGUUCUUUUUCCAUUUGAACAGAAAAUAACAUGAAAAUGCUUUUCAUGCUUCCUGAUUACUGAGAUGGCCAGCAUACAGAAAGUCCUUCUGCAAGGAAAAUGUAUAGGGGAAAAAAGAAGAAGCUAUUAUGCUGGUUUUGUCCUACUACAUAUCUUCCAAGGUUGAGUUUUCAUAACAGUGCAGUUGCUAAACCAAGUUGAUGUAUCAAGAACGUUUCUGAAUUUUCAUGUAGGCACCUGUGUAAAGAACAGACAAGUCUGAAGACUUGUUAAGUUUGUGUUUGUGUGCCCAUUUGGGACUAACACGAGGAAUACUGGAUUUUGCUACCAAAGGCAGCAUGUCUGCUGGUUGUAUAGUUGUGACUUUAAUACUGUUCAGAAAUGGCUUACACCAAUUAUUCAGGGUCACACGUAUGCCAUUUUAAGGACAUGGUUUAGUUUGUCAUUAUGGGUUCUACAGCAUCUGCUGCUUGGUAAUCGUUCUCUGCAGUGGGUUUAUGCUGUGUGACUCACAGAUUAAGGAAUACAGUUUCCACCAAGUAAUUCACCUUGGAGAUUCUAAACUGAAGAUCAAGAUUUCUGACUUUUCAGAGCAGUUCAACUUUAGUUUUUAAUGAUGGGGAAAGUGAUCAGAUUACAAGUACAUCCGAUCGCCAUCAUAAAACAAGCCGUAGCAUUUUAGCAAGGUUUCAGGUCUAACAAAAAGAAUUUGGGCACAAAGAGACAAGAUAAGCAUUCUUCUCAUCCUCAAAGGAUAUUUUGGAAUGCAGAUUUGAUUUUUUUCAGGGUAGCCAGUGAAUUCUGUCCUCUGCACAUAAGGCACGCAACCGAUGGAAGUCUUUUCCAUGAGCUCUGUUACACAAGAGCGUCCAGCCUUUGAUUAAUUUAAAAACUUGUAAAUGCAAAAAGCCCCAAAUGGGUUGGAACUUGGUGAUUGGAUGAUGGACUUGGGGUCCCUUCCAGCCCAAGCAUUCUAUGAUUCUAUGAUUUUUUUCUGUUAUCAGCAGGCAGCUUCAGACAGCACUUUUAUACCUUCUACCUGUGGAUGCACAGUUUACCAGUUGGCUUUGCAAGAUCCCACAGCCUGUUCAGAAAGCAUUAUUUCUCCAUUUCUCCAUUCCAGACCACUGCUGACUGCCAGCAGGACUGCGCUGUCUCCCUUGCACACUG